GAUGAACGCUGGCGGCGUGCCUAAUACAUGCAAGUCGAGCGAACGGACGAGAAGCUUGCUUCUCUGAUGUUAGCGGCGGACGGGUGAGUAACACGUGGAUAACCUACCUAUAAGACUGGGAUAACUUCGGGAAACCGGAGCUAAUACCGGAUAAUAUUUUGAACCGCAUGGUUCAAAAGUGAAAGACGGUCUUGCUGUCACUUAUAGAUGGAUCCGCGCUGCAUUAGCUAGUUGGUAAGGUAACGGCUUACCAAGGCAACGAUGCAUAGCCGACCUGAGAGGGUGAUCGGCCACACUGGAACUGAGACACGGUCCAGACUCCUACGGGAGGCAGCAGUAGGGAAUCUUCCGCAAUGGGCGAAAGCCUGACGGAGCAACGCCGCGUGAGUGAUGAAGGUCUUCGGAUCGUAAAACUCUGUUAUUAGGGAAGAACAUAUGUGUAAGUAACUGUGCACAUCUUGACGGUACCUAAUCAGAAAGCCACGGCUAACUACGUGCCAGCAGCCGCGGUAAUACGUAGGUGGCAAGCGUUAUCCGGAAUUAUUGGGCGUAAAGCGCGCGUAGGCGGUUUUUUAAGUCUGAUGUGAAAGCCCACGGCUCAACCGUGGAGGGUCAUUGGAAACUGGAAAACUUGAGUGCAGAAGAGGAAAGUGGAAUUCCAUGUGUAGCGGUGAAAUGCGCAGAGAUAUGGAGGAACACCAGUGGCGAAGGCGACUUUCUGGUCUGUAACUGACGCUGAUGUGCGAAAGCGUGGGGAUCAAACAGGAUUAGAUACCCUGGUAGUCCACGCCGUAAACGAUGAGUGCUAAGUGUUAGGGGGUUUCCGCCCCUUAGUGCUGCAGCUAACGCAUUAAGCACUCCGCCUGGGGAGUACGACCGCAAGGUUGAAACUCAAAGGAAUUGACGGGGACCCGCACAAGCGGUGGAGCAUGUGGUUUAAUUCGAAGCAACGCGAAGAACCUUACCAAAUCUUGACAUCCUUUGACAACUCUAGAGAUAGAGCCUUCCCCUUCGGGGGACAAAGUGACAGGUGGUGCAUGGUUGUCGUCAGCUCGUGUCGUGAGAUGUUGGGUUAAGUCCCGCAACGAGCGCAACCCUUAAGCUUAGUUGCCAUCAUUAAGUUGGGCACUCUAAGUUGACUGCCGGUGACGAACCGGAGGAAGGUGGGGAUGACGUCAAAUCAUCAUGCCCCUUAUGAUUUGGGCUACACACGUGCUACAAUGGACAAUACAAAGGGCAGCGAAACCGCGAGGUCAAGCAAAUCCCAUAAAGUUGUUCUCAGUUCGGAUUGUAGUCUGCAACUCGACUACAUGAAGCUGGAAUCGCUAGUAAUCGUAGAUCAGCAUGCUACGGUGAAUACGUUCCCGGGUCU
rnacentral:rRNA from 1 species